UAGUCAAAUAUUGGAUACUUGAGUCUGAAUAAGCUACAAAGCAGCGUGGAAUACACAAACAAACAAAAUGCCUAAGUCGCCCUCUCGGCCUCCCACCGAUGCCGCCGGAGAAGAAUUCGACCCGGUUGCCCAUGCUCUCGCAAACACCAACCCUCUAUCGUAUUCAUUCGUUCGCGCAUUUUUCAACUACAUCGCCAGAAAAGUCUCCACCCUCUCGAAAUCCAAAAUAUCUCGCCUCACCGAUGAUGAGUUAGCUCGUGUCAUCAAGGACGAGUACUCACGUCUCACCGAAGCCGAGAAAGUCCGUCUCAUGGACGCCGAGUUUGAUCGCUUAAAAGCCAUCGCCAAUUCCAUAUUUCGCCUUUUCACCGGUAACAGCUUGGAGAGCUUUUUCACUGGCUUUUUCACUAGUAAAGAAGAAGAGAUAACUCCAAUAACGCCCCCGUUGGAUAGUCGAGCCACUAGUAAAAAAGAAGAGAUAACUCCACCUUUGUAUAGUGGAUCCACUCACGAUGAUAUGAUCGAUCCUCUCGGCAUUAUAUUAACCUGUAUCGCGGUUCUCAUCUGGUUGAUGAUGAUGGUUGGCGAGCAUUAUAAGGCAAGAUCGUACUCUUAUGAACGUGGUGUUAUUUUCCCUACCAAGGCUGCCCAGGAGCGAAUGAGACCUUUAAAGAGAUCCAUCUUUUUGUCUAAAUAUUCAAGAACGCCGGAUCUGAAGGGUCUUAAAAGCAUUGGAGAAUUCUACACGGGUUUUUGACAGGUGGAAGAAUGCAUUCCUGGUGACAAGAUCGGUGCUGAGAACGGUGAUGCUCUCAUUGUUUCCAUCUUAAGCAAGAAGGAAGUAAAGCAGCAUCAGAAAGGCACAUCUAGAGCUGUUUUUCUAAGCCUUAUAUCCAACG